rnacentral:lncRNA from 13 species
UUUGGGAUUCCCGGGGUGGGGGUGCCCUAUCCAAGGAGGGAUCCGCUGAGCCUCAGGCGCCAGCUGUGGAGGCGUUAGCUGCUGUCCAGUCUGUAGCCGACGCGCGGAUCCAACAAGAGCCAGUGGCUGCGCAUCGGCUGCUGCAGGUGGUAGGAGUAGAAUUGUCUCCUGUGGCAACCUUGGAAACUUGAUAUUGAAGAAGAGAGCACAAAAUGGAAAGAAAUCUGUCCCUGACACUGCAUGGAGAAAAGCUACCUGACCAGAAAUAUGCAGAUUGGACUGUUUUCUGAGCAAUAAAUAAACUAUUAUUGUGUUAAGCA